rnacentral:rRNA from 1 species
UGGGGAAUUUUGCGCAAUGGGCGAAAGCCUGACGCAGCAACGCCGCGUGGAGGAUGAAGGUUUUCGGAUCGUAAACUCCUGUCCUCGGGGACGAAAAAAAUGACGGUACCCGGGGAGGAAGCCCCGGCUAACUCCGUGCCAGCAGCCGCGGUAAUACGGGGGGGGCAAGCGUUGUUCGGAAUUACUGGGCGUAAAGGGCGCGUAGGCGGCCUGGGAAGUUCUGGGUGAAAGCCCCCGGCUCAACCGGGGAAGUGCCUGGGAAACCACUGGGCUGGAGUGCUGGAGAGGGAAGCGGAAUUCCUGGUGUAGCGGUGAAAUGCGUAGAGAUCAGGAGGAACAUCGGGCGGCGAAGGCGGCUUCCUGGACAGACACUGACGCUGAGGCGCGAAAGCCAGGGGAGCAAACAGGAUUAGAUACCCUGGUAGUCCUGGCUGUAAACGAUGAUGACUUGGUGUGAGGGGUAGC